GGUUAGAUGGCCGAGCGGUUAAGGCGCAUGACUCAAGCGCAAGCUUACCUGUCUAACAGGUGUAUUCAUGUAGAGAAAUCUGCGUCGGUUCGAUUCCGGCUCUAAUCA